rnacentral:rRNA from 1 species
UGAGGAAUAUUGGUCAAUGGGCGUAAGCCUGAACCAGCCAAGUCGCGUGAGGGAAGACGGCCCUAUGGGUUGUAAACCUCUUUUGUCGGGGAGCAAAGCCGCCCACGUGUGGGCGGAAGGAGAGUACCCGAAGAAAAAGCAUCGGCUAACUCCGUGCCAGCAGCCGCGGUAAUACGGAGGAUGCGAGCGUUAUCCGGAUUUAUUGGGUUUAAAGGGUGCGUAGGCGGCAUGGUAAGUCAGCGGUCAAAUCGAGGGGCUCAACCCCUUUCCGCCGUUGAAAACUGCCGUGCUUGAGUGGGCGAGAAGUAUGCGGAAUGCGUGGUGUAGCGGUGAAAAUGCAUAGAUAUCACGCAGAACUCCGAUUUGCGAAGGCAGCAUACCGGCGCCGACUGACGCUGAGGCACGAAAGCGUGGGGAUCGAACA